GUAACACCAAUGCAACAAUUAGUGAUUACUUUACGUCUUUAUGCAACGAAUGGUUUUUUUAAUAACAAUGGGGGACUAUGGCGGAAUGGACAAAUCAACUGUAUCACGAAUAAUUGUUAGAGUGUCUAAAGCUAUAGCUUCUUUGGCACACAUUUAUAUAAAGUUACCACAAACACAAGAAGAAAUUUCACAAGCUCAAAGAAAUUUUUACAAUAUUGCUGCAUUUCCAAGAGUAAUUGGUGCUAUUGAUUGAUACACAUGUAAAAAUACAAUCUCCAGGUGGUGAUGAUGCAGAAAUAUUUCGAAAUAGAAAAUCGUACUUUUCAUUAAAUGUACAAGUUGUGGCCAAUGCUAAUAAAGAAAUAAUUGACAUCGUAGCUCGAUGGCCAAGUUCAGUUCACGAUUCAACAAUUUUUCAGAACAAUAAUUUAAGAAUGCUAUUUAAAACACGUCAUUUUCACAACUGCUUAUUAUUGGGUGAUAGUGCAUAUCCUGCAAAACCUUAUUUAUUUAUUCGUUAUUAAACCCUGAAAGUCGUGCCCAACAAUUAUAUAACGAGUCACAAAUUCGAACAAGAACCGUACUAGAACACACAUUUGGUAUUUGGAAAUGUAGAUUUCCAAUAUCAGCAUAUGGAAGUCGUUUAAAGAUCAGAACGGUAAUGACAAUAAUAAUAGCAACUGCUGUAUUGCAUAAUAAAGCACAACGUCGAAGGGAAGACAUGCCUCCUACUGAUGAUGAAGAUGCAAAUAUUUUAG